AACGAACGCUGGCGGCAUGCCUAACACAUGCAAGUCGAACGAGACCUUCGGGUCUAGUGGCGCACGGGUGCGUAACGCGUGGGAACCUGCCCUUAGGUUCGGAAUAACUCCCCGAAAGGGGUGCUAAUACCGGAUAAUGUCUUCGGACCAAAGAUUUAUCGCCUUUGGAUGGGCCCGCGUUGGAUUAGCUAGUUGGUAGGGUAAAAGCCUACCAAGGCGACGAUCCAUAGCUGGUCUGAGAGGAUGAUCAGCCACACUGGGUCUGAGACACGGCCCAGACUCCUACGGGAGGCAGCAGUGGGGAAUAUUGGACAAUGGGCGAAAGCCUGAUCCAGCAAUGCCGCGUGAGUGAUGAAGGCCUUAGGGUUGUAAAGCUCUUUUACCCGGGAUGAUAAUGACAGUACCGGGAGAAUAAGCUCCGGCUAACUCCGU
rnacentral:rRNA from 1 species